AACGAACGCUGGCGGCAGGCUUAACACAUGCAAGUCGAGCGCCCCGCAAGGGGAGCGGCAGACGGGUGAGUAACGCGUGGGAAUCUACCCAUCUCUACGGAAUAACGCAUGGAAACGUGUGCUAAUACCGUAUACUUCCUUCGGGAGAAAGAUUUAUCGGAGCGGCCGAUGUCAGAUUAGGUGGUUUGUUGGGUAAAGGCCUACCAAGGCGACGAACCAUAGGUGGUCGGAGAGGAUGAUCAGCCACACUGGGACUGAGACACGGCCCAGACUCCUACGGAAGGCAGCAGUGGGGAAUAUUGGACAAUGGGCGCAAGCCUGAUCCAGCCAUGCCGCGUGAGUGAUGAAGGCCCUAGGGUUGUAGAGCUCUUUCACCGGUGAAGAUAAUGACGGUAACCGGAGAAGAAGCCCCGGCUAACUUCGUGCCAGCCGCCGCAGUAACAC
rnacentral:rRNA from 1 species